ACCAGUAGGUUCCUUCUGACUGGAAACAGCAGACUGGAAACGAAUGAAACGUUUAUUUUCUCAAUCGUUUCCCUUUGGUGCCAUCAAACGUUUCCUCUCUAACAAACUUUGUGGUUGUUUUGUGUCUCUGAGGUUGUUUUGUGUCUCUGUGGUUGGUUUGUGUCUCUUUGUGGUUGUUUAGUGUCUCUUUGUGGUUGUUUUGUGUCUCUGUGGUUGUUUUGUGUCUCUGAGGUUGUUUAGUGUCUCUUUGUGGUUGUUUAGUGUCUCUGUGGUUGUUUUGUGUCUCUGUGGUUGUUUUGUGUCUCUGUGGUUGGUUUGUGUCUCUUUGUGGUUGUUUAGUGUCUCUUUGUGGUUGUUUUGUGUCUCUGUGGUUGUUUUGUGUCUCUGUGGUUGUUUGUGUCUCUGUGGUUGGUUUGUGUCUCUUUGUGGUUGUUUAGCGUCUCUUUGUGGUUGUUUUGUGUCUCUGUGGUUGUUUUGUGUCUCUUUGUGGUUGGUUUGUGUGUCUUUGUGGUUGUUUUGUGUCUCUGUGGUUGUUUUGUGUCUCUGUGGUUGGUUUGUGUCUCUUUGUGGUUGUUUUGUGUCUCUGUGGUUGUUUUGUGUCUCUGAGGUUGUUUUGUGUCUCUGUGGUUGUUUUGUGUCUCUUACUGGUUGUUUUGUGUCUCUUUGUGGUUGGUUUGUGUGUCUUUGUGGUUGUUUUGUGUCUCUGUGGUUGUUUUGUGUCUCUGUGGUUGUUUUGUGUCUCUGUGGUUGGUUUGUGUCUCUGUGGUUGGUUUGUGUCUCUUUGUGGUUGUUUAGUGUCUCUUUGUGGUUGUUUUGUGUCUCUGUGGUUGUUUUGUGUCUCUGUGGUUGUUUUGUGUCUCUGUGGUUGUUUAGUGUCUCUGUGGUUGUUUUGUGUCUCUGUGGUUGUUUGUGUCUCUGUGGUUGUUUUGUGUCUCUUUGUGGUUGUUUAGUGUCUCUUUGUGGUUGUUUUGUGUCUCUGUGGUUGUUUUGUGUCUCUGUGGUUGUUUUGUGUCUCUGUGGUUGGUUUGUGUCUCUUUGUGGUUGUUUUGUGUCUCUGUGGUUGUUUUGUGUCUCUUACUGGUUGUUUUGUGUCUCUUUGUGGUUGGUUUGUGUGUCUUUGUGGUUGUUUUGUGUCUCUGUG